rnacentral:rRNA from 1 species
GACGGAGGGUGCUAGCGUUGUUCGGAAUUACUGGGCGUAAAGGGCGCGUAGGCGGCCUGGUCAGUCGGAUGUGAAAGCCCGGGGCUCAACCCCGGAACGGCAUCCGAGACGGCCAGGCUGGAGACCGGGAGAGGAGAGUGGAAUAGCCAGUGUAGAGGUGAAAUUCGUAGAUAUUGGCUGGAACACCGGUGGCGAAAGCGGCUCUCUGGCCCGGUUCUGACGCUGAGGCGCGAAAGGCGUGGGGAGCAAACAGG